GGCUCAGAAUCAACGCUGGCGGCGUGCCUAACACAUGCAAGUCGAACGCGAAAGCCCCGCAAGGGGUAAGUAGAGUGGCAAACGGGUGAGUAACACGUGGGUGACCUGCCUUCGAGUGGGGGAUAACGUCCCGAAAGGGACGCUAAUACCGCAUGACAUCCUGCGUUUGGAAACGCGGAGAUCAAAGCCGGGGAUCGCAAGACCUGGCGCUUGAAGAGGGGCCCGCGCCUGAUUAGCUAGUUGGUGGGGUAACGGCCUACCAAGGCAACGAUCAGUUCCGGCCUGAGAGGGCGGACGGACACACUGGGACUGAGACACGGCCCAGACUCCUACGGGAGGCAGCAGUGGGGAAUUGUUCGCAAUGGGCGCAAGCCUGACGACGCAACGCCGCGUGGAGGACGAAGAUCUUCGGGUCGUAAACUCCUGUCGAGCGGGAAGAACGCUUUCCGGGUGAAUAAUCCGGGAAGGUGACGGUACCGCUAAAGGAAGCCCCGGCUAACUCCGUGCCAGCAGCCGCGGUAAUACGGGGGGGGCAAGCGUUGUUCGGAAUUACUGGGCGUAAAGGGCUCGUAGGCGGCCAACUAAGUCGGAUGUGAAAUCCCCAGGCUCAACUUGGGAACUGCAUCCGAUACUGGAUGGCUUGAAUCCGGGAGAGGGAUGCAGAAUUCCAGGUGUAGCGGUGAAAUGCGUAGAUAUCUGGAGGAAUACCGGUGGCGAAGGCGGCAUCCUGGACCGGCAUUGACGCUGAUGAGCGAAAGCUAGGGGAGCAAACGGGAUUAGAUACCCCGGUAGUCCUAGCCCUAAACGAUGAAUGCUUGGUGUGGCGGGUAUCGAUCCCUGCCGUGCCGAAGCUAACGCAUUAAGCAUUCCGCCUGGGGAGUACGGUCGCAAGGCUGAAACUCAAGGGAAUUGACGGGGGCCCGCACAAGCGGGUGG
rnacentral:rRNA from 1 species